CCUGGACUUGAGCUAGUCACUUUAUUUUCUGAGCUUCAGUUUCCUCACUGGAUGAGUAGGAAAGUCAUGCCUGUCUGGCUUAACUAGAGGGCCUGUGGUGAGGCAUAAACUGGAGAAGAAAAUCAAACCAUUUGGUGAACUGUCAAGCUCAAUUUCCCUCUUUAAGGAAGAAAGGAAAGUGUUUUCCUGGAUACUAGAUAUGCUGAGUUGGGACAGGAGCUAAGGACAGAGGUGAGGAAACCUGCAGACAACAGCGACAUGCUCCUCAUCUUUGAGUCCCAGCGAACCUUUCCACUGUGUGUGUGUGCUGGAAUGCAGUUACUGAUCACCUGCAGGCUUGAACUCCAGGGUUCAAGCGAUCCUCCUACUUCAGCCUCCUGAGCAGCUAAGGACUACAGCACAUUAUGUUCCUGAAAACCAGGAACUGCUUCCUGUCUGACCCACUGCAGUGGUGGAGAGGAUCAAGGGAAAUAAUGAUCAUGGAUGUGCUUAGGAGACGUAAGAUUUUACUAAGAAUUGCUGUGAGCUGGGCACCCUUCUACGCUCUGCAGACACCAUGGCUAGUAAGACAGGCAAAGACCUGCCAUCUGGAGCUUGUUUGGAUAUAGGGUAGGGGGAUGGGGAGAAGGGAGAUAAACAAUAAACAAGUAAAUUUACACUC
rnacentral:antisense_RNA from 1 species